rnacentral:misc_RNA from 1 species
AACUUUUAACAACGGAUCUCUUGGCUCUCGCAUCGAUGAAGAACGCAGCGAAAAGCGAUAAGUAAUGUGAAUUGCAGAAUUCAGUGAAUCAUCGAAUCUUUGAACGCACCUUGCACCCUUUGGUAUUCCAAAAGGUAUGCCUGUUUGAGUGUCUUGAAAAAACACGCGAGUUUCUUUUUAUUAUUAGAAAGGGGACUUGGUAAUUGAGCGUGUUUGCCAUAUUGGCUCGCUUUAAAUGUAUGAUCUGGAGAUGAAGUUAUUCUGUUGUGCCGGCUUGUACACGGACGUAAAAGUGUAUCACGGUGGUCACGAACGGACAUUUCAUUUUGCGCAUGCGUCUAACACACGCGCACACCCUUUGAUUUAGGCCUCAAAUCGGGUAGGGCUACCCGCUGAGCUUUCUCAUAUCAAUCCGCGGAGGCU